GGAAUAUUGGACAAUGGGCGCAAGCCUGAUCCAGCCAUGCCGCGUGAGUGAUGAAGGCCUUAGGGUUGUAAAGCUCUUUCACCGAUGAAGAUAAUGACGGUAGUCGGAGAAGAAGCCCCGGCUAACUUCGUGCCAGCAGCCGCGGUAAUACGAAGGGGGCUAGCGUUGUUCGGAAUUACUGGGCGUAAAGCGCACGUAGGCGGAUAUUUAAGUCAGGGGUGAAAUCCCGCAGCUCAACUGCGGAACUGCCUUUGAUACUGGGUAUCUUGAGUAUGGAAGAGGUAAGUGGAAUUCCGAGUGUAGAGGUGAAAUUCGUAGAUAUUCGGAGGAACACCAGUGGCGAAGGCGGCUUACUGGUCCAUUACUGACGCUGAGGUGCGAAAGCGUGGGGAGCAAACAGGAUUAGAUACCCCGG
rnacentral:rRNA from 1 species